rnacentral:rRNA from 1 species
UACGUAGGGUGCAAGCGUUGUCCGGAAUUACUGGGCGUAAAGGGCGCGUAGGCGGCCUGUUAAGUCAAACGUGAAAUCCCCGGGCUCAACCCGGGAACUGCGUCCGAUACUGGCAGGCUUGAAUCCGGGAGAGGGAUGCGGAAUUCCAGGUGUAGCGGUGAAAUGCGUAGAUAUCUGGAGGAACACCGGUGGCGAAGGCGGCAUCCUGGACCGGCAUUGACGCUGAGGCGCGAAAGCCAGGGGAGCAAACGGG